rnacentral:rRNA from 1 species
UACGAAGGGGGCAAGCGUUGUUCGGAAUUACUGGGCGGAAAGGGCGCGUAGGCGGCCGAUCAAGUCAGGCGUGAAAUUCCCGGGCUCAACCUGGGGGCUGCGCUUGAUACUGAUUGGCUUGAAUGCGGGAGAGGAUAGUGGAAUUCCCAGUGUAGAGGUGAAAUUCGUAGAUAUUGGGAAGAACACCGGUGGCGAAGGCGGCUAUCUGGCCCGUAAUUGACGCUGAGGCGCGAAAGCGUGGGGAGCAAACAGG